CGCUGUGGAGGGACUGGCUGGGGCACAAGGGUGCUCUAGUGCACGGCAAGCCAGUAGACAGCCCCUCAACUGAAGAGCCCUCAUGCCCCAGCCAGCCCUGUCAAGUCUACAUGUGCAUUGCUGCGCACUACAGAACACCAUCAUAGGACAGCACUUGUGUUUACAAGUAUCAGCCUACCUCAGAGUUAAUUACUUUACUGAGGCCUAAUAGGGCCACAAGUAUAGAUGCUGAGACUUUACUGUAGAGCUAAUUAGGCAACUGCUCAGUAAACAUCUCAUGUAGAUGGGCCCAGAAAUAAGUAUUCUGGAACAGCUAUUUUGGUAAAUUUCUAUAUGUAAACAGCCCGUUAGAGCAGACUGGAAGGGUGGUUCAUCCAUUAUAUUGUUCCUCUGCAGCCAACUCCUCACUGCACUAUGAAGCCCAUCAAGGUCUAGUGCCAGGGGGCCUGAGUAGCUGUGAAGGAGAAGGCCAGGUUUCUCUCUUUGUCAGUGGGACUGUUAAUUCAGAAGAGAAGCUUGGCUCCUCUUUUGAGGUCUCUGAUUAAAGCCCUUCAGAAUAUAGUGAUUUCCAACUUUCUGGAUGAUUUACAGUAUGACCAGGGAUAUACCUUUAGUUCAGGGGGGCACGGAUCUAGUUUUCAGAGAUAGGAACUGGACAUUAGGCAUUCAAAUUCAGUACUGAUGAAACCAAAUGUAACUCCAAUAAAAUCAGUGAAAUUAGAGCUGCUCACGCUCAUAAUGAAGUUGGUACCAGGUAUAGAUAUUGGUAAGUGCAGGCCUUUACCUGCUGUAGUGAAAAGCAACUCCACAUUCCCAGAUGAACUAGAUUUGGUAUAGCGUGCUCUUGUGACAUAUCAGGACUGAGCAUGUUACAGACAGAAGCUAGAGGGUACUUGAGUGUACACAUGUAAAAUAUAGAGCUAUUUCUGAAAGAUGCUUGGCUGGUAUUGUGCCAAAUUCUGCAAAUUCUUUAGAUUAGCCAAGAGACUGGCUUGAGAACGAACCCACUGCUUCCCCACUGCCUUCAGUGUUAGAGAUUUUUAGAUGGUUAUCUUCUGCUGUCUGGAGAUUGCGAGCCAGAUCCUAUUCCACAGACUAGAUGCCUAAGUGCAGUCCAAAUCCCUGAUCAGGUCUCUGAAAAAAUCAUUAACUCAUCUACUUCUGUAAUGAGACAUCAUCUAAGCUUAGAUUAAACCACAACAAUGCACUGAGGAGGAGGAGGCCCCACCCACCUUUGGCGUCAACAGGUUUUAAGGGAUUUAAGCAGGGUGGAACUGAAUUCCAGUUUGGUGCCUAAACCCACUUGGAUGCCUAAGAGAUAGAAUAUGAUCCCGCCCUAUGGCUAGUGUUCACCCACAGUGCAUUUGCAGUACUACUGGAAAUGGACAACUACAUUCAUGCAUACGUGAUUAUUCCUAAUUUAGUGUCUGGAUCCAGCCCACAAAGAGCUCUGCAUUAUGGAUCCAGCCUGGGGGGCAAGCAUCUAUUGUAAUGGUGAAGGAAUUGAAGAUUACAGGUAAUCUGGUGGAACCCAGAGCAAGCAUGCUUCCUCCAUCAGCCAAACAGGGAGAGACUAAAUGAUUUUCUCUAGGUCAUACAGGAUAUCACUGGCAUGGACUUCAGAUACUCCCUGUUGUCUCUGGAAGAAUGAAAACAAAUGAGAUACUACGAAGUGAUUCUUUUGCAUUUAUUUGUAACAGUGUGUAUGAAGCCCUUUUUGCAACAUACAACCAACUUCAAGCCACUAUAUUCCUUCUGAAUAAAAUUCAGAUGCCAAGAACUAGCUCCUUGUAGUAUAAACAGGUUGGUUUCUCCUGAACUUUAUGUAUGGUUGGAAACUAGGUUGUUGUCCCUUUUAUUCUGCUUCAUCAGAUUAUCUAACCUUGAGCAUUGGCUAAAAUGUUGCAGCCUCUGCUAAUGGACUUUCUCUGUUCUUCCAAGUUGAAUUAAAACAGAAAAUAGAAACAUAAUUGUAAAUGCUCAUCUCUCAUGUUUGAUUAGUAACCAAAUGUUUUCUUUCAUGGAAUGAAAAAGAUACAGUUCAGAUCCUGCUGUCUAGAAAGAGGAGACCUUGAAUCUUUUCCAGCCAGUCUUGCAACUCUGCCUCACUCGGUAGGUUCCAAUCUAGAAAAACACAUAAAAUGGUGGGAAAAUUGAAAUGUGAGAAACAUUUGUAUAAAUUAGAGCUACAAAUAAAUUAUAGUAAUCUCUGUGGUUGCCUGACAUGUAUCAAGGAUGGAUAUAACAUCCACAUCACUUCAAUCAACAGAUGGUAACUGAAACAAAACAGUUGUUUUCCCUCACCUGGUAGCCUACCACAGACUCACACAUACCAUCUCUUCCUUUCUCUUUGUAUCACUCAUAUUCAGGCACCUAAAUAAAUGGAGUCUGAUUUUCAAAGGUGCCGAGGAUCUCAAACCCUAUUAAAAACAAAGAAACAAGGAGAGUUGUAGGUGCUCAAUACCAAAUCAGACCUCUCUCUUUUUUUGGGCUGCUUAAAUGUGGAUUUUAAGGUCCUCAGUGACUUAGAAGCCUUGGUCCUAUUUUCAAGAUCACCAAAGUCAUGCUGGCACUUUUGAAAUUUUAUAUGAUCAACCUUAGGCUCUUUAGUUUUAAAAUGUUAUCAGGUGGUGUGUGGCUGUGUUAAUAUAUGAGGGAAUAGAGCUUCAAAAGUGCUUAAGGGAUUUAGAAGCAUAAAUCACAAUGGUGUGAUUAAUGGGGAUCUGAGAUCCUAAAGCACUUGCAUGUUUUUGAAAAUCCUAUUUCUUGCCUUUUUUGGCAGGGGAUUUAAUUUGAUGCCAGUGUAAAUCUAUGCCUGAAAUGCCUUAGGAUAGGCUCAGCUUGUUUAAUAAGGAAUGAAGUCAAUCUACACUUUAACAUGAUCAUUUCUAAAAUAAAAGUUACUGAAGCUGCACUGUCUUUUCAUAAGUAACAGUGUUCUCAUUAGUUUUUGAGAUGCUGGAAAAAAUCUUGUGCAGACUGACCUGUUCUUAGCUGGAAAAUAUAAACAGGUUUGUUCCAUUUCAGCAAGAACUCGGACAAAGCAUGGAUGUUUAGUAUGGAGAGGUACCAAUAUACCUUUUUACCAUUAUAUGAUAGAGUAACCAAGUUAGUCUCUUCUGAGGUGUUCUACUUGCAGUCUAUGUCAUCCUUGUAAACUAAGUGGAUAAUUGCUUGUCAAACUGAUUGACAUUUGUAGAACUGUCUUUUCCAUGAAAUGUUACCCCCCUACACCCACCAAAAAAAAGAAUAGAUGAUUUGAUUUUGUACUGUUUUUUUUUCUUUAAAAACUCUAACUUUUUCUGCCUAAAAGUAGUAAUUACUUAAUGAAUAGCCCUCCAUGUUUCCUUGUCAGCUGCUUGCUAUAAUGAGUAAUUGGUUUUGUCUGCUUUGUUAACAAUACAAAUUUUUUAAACUAAUAAUAAUAAAGAUCUUAUAGGAUUUCA